rnacentral:rRNA from 1 species
UACGGGGGGAGCGAGCGUUGUCCGGAAUUACUGGGCGUAAAGGGCGUGUAGGCGGUUAUAUAAGUCAGAUGUGAAAGCCUGCGGCUUAACCGCAGAAAUGCAUUUGAGACUGUAUAACUUGAGUGCGGGAGAGGGUAGUGGAAUUCCCAGUGUAGCGGUGAAAUGCGUAGAGAUUGGGAAGAACACCAGUAGCGAAGGCGGCUACCUGGCUCGUAACUGACGCUAAUGCGCGAAAGCGUGGGGAGCAAACAGG